UACAUCAUGGUGGAUAAGUACCUGCAGCUACAAGAAAUGGAGUCCAACCCUCUGCGUUCCUUUCAAGUACUCAUAAUAGGCAUGGAGAGGUGGUGGAGCAACUUUGACCUUAUGCGCAUGAAAAUCUUGUCUGAGCAUAUCCAGGACCACAUCAGAUAUGAGGUGGAUUUCCUCUUCAGCAUGAACAUCAACACCGUCUUCCAAAACUGGCUCCUUACAUAGCCCCGAAGCAGCUGGAGGGCUGCUCUUACCAGCUAUGUUGAAGACGAGGGACUUUUGAAGGUGGAAUUUCUCGACAAAUCCCAGGACUCCACCUCCCCACAGUGAACAUGAUAUUACUCAAAGGAUGUGUAGCCUGCCCAAAGCUGGCAGCUUCUCCAGCUGUUUGCCUCUGUGAAGGACACCUGGCUCCUGAGCUGGACCUCCCUCUUCCACAGGGGACUCAGUUUUCCAUGAAGUACUCACAGGUUCCUUGGUACUGGCCUUGGAGCCCAGUUGGGUGGAUGGUAGCAUUAAAUCCUAUGCACAGCC
ensembl:processed_transcript